rnacentral:tmRNA from 1 species
GGGGCUGACUUGGAUUUCGACAGAUUUCUUGUCGCACAGACAGCAUGCCAAGCGCUACUUGUAAAACAGCAACAAAAAUAACUGUAAACAACACAGAUUACGCUCCAGCUUACGCUAAAGCUGCGUGAGUUAAUCUCCUUUUGGAGCUGGACUGAUUAGAAUUUCUAGCGUUUUAAUCACUCCAUAACCUUAAGCUAGACGCUUUUAAAAGGUGGUUCGCCUUUUAAACUAAGAAACAAGAACUCUUGAAACUACCUCAAGGUUUUAGAAAGUUGGACCAGAGCUAGUUUUAAGGCUAAAAAAUUAACCAAUUUUCUAAGCAUUGUAGAAGUUUGUGUUUAGGACAAGAUUUUUGGACUGGGGUUCGAUUCCCCACAGCUCCACCA